AGGUUAUUGUACAUCCAGCGUUGCAAACUCCCGCCUGCCCUACCGUCCGGGAUGGUCUGUUUUGCGACCGGACGGUCAGUUUUAAAAAGUUGCACGCCCGAUGGUCUGGCUGUUGAAUCAGCAUAAUUUUGU